GAUCUGACAAAAAAUGGGUAUGUGUAUAUGUAUGACUGACUCACUUUGUUGUACAGUAGAAAUUAUCACAUUAAAAUCAACUAUAAUUCGAUAAAACUUUUUAAAAAAGUAACUAGAAAAGCCCAUUCGCCAUUAACCUUUAACCUGAAAUCUUUGUUUCAAGUACAGUCAGCUCUUCCACCAGGUUACAGUCAUAAGUUAACUAUUGCUAAAACAGAGUCUCAAGUUCAGAAAGGUUUUUGUUGUUGUUUGGUCGAUGAAAGGUUGAUGGGGCAAGCAAUGUAACCUGGCUGGCACGGGGCUGCAAUUCCUCACUUAACAAACACACGAAAAUACCACAGCUCCAGCAAGUAGGUCCAAGAAACCGCCCAACAACGCCUUUCCUGACCGGACUUUGGGAAAGACGCCGCCCACGGGGCUCAGGACCAGCAAAGCCAAGGCCACCUCACCUGUCCAAAGGCUUGCGCAGUCCUAGCUUCAGACGUACCUUCUAACCCGCUUCUCAAGAGCUCACACAGCUCCUCUAACACCGGAUGUGCUUCUGACUCUCCCAGGGUCCGCUCCAGACUCUUUACCUUGCAUCCGCCCCUCGAGGGAAGCCCCGCCCCCGAGUUCCGCUUGAGGCCAGUCCUGAUUGGCCAUUGGUUGCUCUUCUGCCUUUCUGUUGGCUGUAGGUGCAUAAACAACGGCUGCUUACUUCAGAGCCAUUUGCUUAACGCCCUUGUCGAUCAAGACUCUGGCAGCCAAACAGCGCGUAGCAAAAGACCUCCGCCUUCUUCCAGCAUAGUAAGGCAGGGUCGUGGUCCAAAGUCGCCUCUAGUGGACAAAGAGAAGAGGGGAGGCCCCACCCGAGGCACAAGGCAAGUAAUGCAGCCUUCACCACACGCGAUGGAAUAGCUCUGCAAAGUCCUGGGAUUUGGGUUUUAUGCUUGUCGUAGAAUGCUAAAAGGGGAAAGAGAUUCAGAGAACACAUAGAAAAGCAUUCUCAUAGGGGCCAAUUUACCGUGAACCUUGUGAAGCUUAAACUUCAGAACAUCUUUGAAGGCCUAGAGAAUUUCUCAGGAACGGGGGGAGGAGGAAUUAGCAGCCCCAGUCCUGUAUCAGACGAAUGUACUCCUGGAGGUCACCCUCUAGGCCCAGGUUGUGGUCCUGGAGUCGUGGGCGGGGCCAGUGGGCUGCCACCUCCUCAUCCACUUUGCUCCGGGGAAGGCGGUAGUAGUGGGGUGAGUAGGGCAGCUAUCUGGCUGAGCUGCCCCAGCAGCUCUGAGGAAACUAAGCCAAGGGAGAAAAAGGGCUGGAGCGCCUUGGGACGUGUCUCCAAGAAGCAACACUAACAGAAGAACUGAGAGUAAGGAGUUGUGAAGCUGCUAAAAAGAGGUUUCUACACUGUCAAAUUUUUUUUCCAAAACUUUUUUGCUAAUUUAUCUAGCAUCUCUAUAUAAAUAAUACAGCAUGGUCAUACGAAGAGGCAAAGCGUAUGCAGCCAAAAAAAAAAAAAAAAAAGGAAAAAGAGCUUAUAGUGGUUAACAGGCAGUUAAUAAUAAUGUGGUUUUGUGGGGUUGUGUGAUAUUUGUAUUUUGUCAGCAUUUUAAAAUCUGUAAUGGAUCACUAUUAAAAAAAUUUUCAAUUUUAAAAGUUAAAAAAAAAUUUUUAAAACCUGUAAUGUUUUAUUUUCUUACUAUAAAUACUGAUUUUAUUACAUAAUUUUGUAUUCUUUUUCUUAAAUACAGCCGUACAACUGUAGAUGUUUCCAGCUGCACAAAACAGCAAAUGAGGAAACAAGACCAUGGACAGAAAAGGUUCUGGCAAAUAAGGGAAGAAAUUUAGACUAAGCAUUUGAUCAAAUCAAAAUGCAGGAUUCAGGAAACUGCUUUCUAGAUAGACUAGCCAUCUUUUCCAUAAAGAAUACAAAUGUGCAGGGUAUGAUUCCCAGUACACACUCAGAUCUGCAGUAAACAUUUUUCUGUAGUGCAAUCUAGUGUUUACUAGUGCAAUCUAAUGUUUACUCUGAAUCUUCCACUGGAGUGGGAGAAAAUAUAUCAUCAGUCUUCCUUGAUGUGUUUCUCCCUACUCUACCCUAAUUUCUGCCACAUUUCUGAGGCUAAAGUGUUUGAGAACAGGGCCUGUCUGGUUCCUGGUCAUUAGUUCACAUGGGCUGUGAACUGGUUUUUUACCUUGGUACUGGUAUGCCCCUUUUCACAUACAGCAGUAGUUAUUUCCACACCAUACUUAAGGCACAAGAAACCGUUUGUCAACCUGUAUUGAAUUCUCCACCUAGAACAAGAGGUUGCUAAGAAUUUGGCCGUACAGUGUUGACUGAAAUAGGUCAUUCAUUCAUUGAUGACAGAUUACACCGUUUCUGACUCAGGGUCUCUUGCGAGGUUGCAGUGAGAUGUCGGCCCAGGAUCCAGUCAUCCAAAGGCUUGACUGGAGCUAGAGGAGUUACUUCCAAGGUAUGGCUGACAAUUUGGUGCUGGCUGUUGGUAGGAAGCCUUAGGUCUUCUCCAGAUGGGCUCCUCCAGAGGGCUGUUUGAAUGUCCUCACAGCAUGAGGAUUAGCUUAAUCCAGAGUGAGCAAUCCCAGUGGCAGAGAGAACUACUAGAUGGAAGCUCUUUUUACAAUUCAUCCUCAUAAGUUGCAUAGCAAUCACUUCCUUACAAUAAUACCCUUAUUCCCAAACCCCUGACCUGGUUCCUGUGCCUCAGAGGGCCUCAUGGUUUGAGGGCCUUCUUGGAAAUUUUCUGUCUCCCUUAUGUACAUAUAACAAACCUAGGCCAUCAAAGCUCAGCGCAGACCAGGUUAUACAUGGGUCUUUGUUCCAGUUUUUCCCCUUCAUGGGAUUCUCCACUUCUAGGAUGCUUGAAGAAUUCUGGAACUCAUGUCUAUGGAAUUACCCCAAGGCCCUGUGAUCAAAUCUCAAUUUCAUGACAACAUCCUAGUGCCCUGAUCACUCUUGCUAGCCAGUACAGUAUUUCUUUUGUGGAACUGCAUGAGACUGGGUCUCCAGGAUCAUGCUGAAAUGCCUACUUGGAGGUCAGACAAGAUGAGCUCAGGUCUCUGGGCUACCAACAGUCAACAGUCCCUUACUAACCCUUGGGCUUGAGUUGUGUGUAUGGAUCCCUGUAUUGAUCCUCUCCUGUCUGUUCUGAUUGUGGAGCUGUGUGUGGUCUAAAGCACCAGAGGACAACAGAGUAACAGCAAGCAUCUUUUAUCCCAUAUAUCACCACACACAACCCCCACCCCCGUCCACCCCACCACUGGCAACCAGGGCAGUUACUCCAUCUCCUCCAAAGACUCUAGGGCAUAUGGCAGGCAGUCCUCUGGGAGGAGACACACCUUUCUGCUCCAAGACCAUUCCUGGGUGCUUUUGAGACUGUUGUUCCACCGUGCCAGCAGGCUCUUCCCAACUAAUGUCCUCUUUUGCUUCUGAAUGAUGUAGGAAUAGAAUGUUCUCUCAUAUGUCAGUCUUAAGUCAUGCCGAAUGAGGUGUGUACAAACAGCAUCAGUCCCUGGUUCUAUCCGUGAUGUGUGGAAAGUAGGGCUGUGGUCAACACUAAACGGGGUCAUGAGCUGGGAAUGCCAUGACGGUGGCUUAAACAGUGUAAGAGAAGACAUGGUUAGAAGAGGUGUUGUUCUAUGGUUAGGGUAUAAAAUUCUGAAUGAAAGAUAAAGUAAAAUCCUGAAUGAAAAUUUAACAUGAUCAUAAAACAAAUUAUUGUUCAAAUUUCCACAAGAGUCUGGGUAAGACUUGCGUUUUUUUUUUUUUUUUUUUUUUUUCCCACUGUACAGCAAGGGGAAAACAGUAUGGAUCCAUAAAAAACUACAGAGUUACCAUAUGAUCCAGCAAUCUCAUUCACAAACAUAUAUCUGGAAAAGAUGAAAACCCUAAUUUGAAAAGAUACAUGCACCCCAAUAUUCAUAGCUGCAUUAUUUACAAUAGCUAAGAUAUGGAAGCAACAUAAGCGCCAAUCAACAGAUGAACCGAA
ensembl:lncRNA